GGGCCCGCACAAGCGGUGGAGCAUGUGGUUUAAUUCGAAGCAACGCGAAGAACCUUACCAGGUCUUGACAUCCCAUUGACCACUGUAGAGAUACAGUUUUCCCUUCGGGGACAACGGUGACAGGUGGUGCAUGGUUGUCGUCAGCUCGUGUCGUGAGAUGUUGGGUUAAGUCCCGCAACGAGCGCAACCCUUAUUCUUAGUUGCCAUCAUUUAGUUGGGCACUCUAAGGAGACUGCCGGUGACAAACCGGAGGAAGGUGGGGAUGACGUCAAAUCAUCAUGCCCCUUAUGACCUGGGCUACACACGUGCUACAAUGGACGAUACAAACGGUUGCCAACCCGCGAGGGGGAGCUAAUCCGAUAAAAUCGUUCUCAGUUCGGAUUGUAGGCUGCAACUCGCCUACAUGAAGCCGGAAUCGCUAGUAAUCGUGGAUCAGCAUGCCACGGUGAAUACGUUCCCGGGCCUU
rnacentral:rRNA from 1 species